GACAGAGGUGCCAAGCGUUAGGCGGAAUCACUGGGCUUAAAGCGUGUGUAGGCGGGUGCCUAAGUACCUUGUGAAAUCCCCCGGCUCAACCGGGGAACUGCUGGGUAUACUGGGUGCCUUGGGUCAUCUAGGGGCUGCCGGAACAAAUGGUGGAGCGGUGAAAUGCGUAGAUAUCAUUUGGAACGCCAACGGCGAAAGCAGGCAGCUGGGGAUGCACCGACGCUGAGACACGAAGCCAGGGAGCGAACGGG
rnacentral:rRNA from 1 species